rnacentral:rRNA from 1 species
CAUUACCGAGUUUACAACUCCCAAACCCCUGUGAACAUACCUAUUUGUUGCCUCGGCGGUGCCUGUUCCGACAGCCCGCCAGAGGACCCCAAACCCUGAUUACAUUUAAGAAGUCUUCUGAGUAAACCGAUUAAAUAAAUCAAAACUUUCAACAACGGAUCUCUUGGUUCUGGCAUCGAUGAAGAACGCAGCGAAAUGCGAUAAGUAAUGUGAAUUGCAGAAUUCAGUGAAUCAUCGAAUCUUUGAACGCACAUUGCGCCCGCUAGUAUUCUGGCGGGCAUGCCUGUCCGAGCGUCAUUUCAACCCUCAAGCCCCCGGGCUUGGUGUUNGGGGAUCGGCGAGCCUCCGCGCCCGCCGUCCCCUAAAUCUAGUGGCGGUCUCGCUGUAGCUUCCUCUGCGUAGUAGCACACCUCGCACUGGGAAACAGCGCGGCCACGCCGUUAAACCCCCAACUUCUGAACGUUUGACCUCGGAUCAGGUAGGAAUACCCGCUGAACUUA